GAGGGUAUAGCUCAAUGGUAGAGUGUGUGCUUAGCAUGCAGGAGGUCCUGGGUUCAAUCCCCAGUCCCUCCA
rnacentral:tRNA from 1 species